rnacentral:rRNA from 1 species
AAAUUGAAGAGUUUGAUCAUGGCUCAGAUUGAACGCUGGCGGCAGGCCUAACACAUGCAAGUCGAGCGGUAGCACAGAGAGCUUGCUCUCGGGUGACGAGCGGCGGACGGGUGAGUAAUGUCUGGGAAACUGCCUGAUGGAGGGGGAUAACUACUGGAAACGGUAGCUAAUACCGCAUAACGUCGCAAGACCAAAGUGGGGGACCUUCGGGCCUCAUGCCAUCAGAUGUGCCCAGAUGGGAUUAGCUAGUAGGUGGGGUAACGGCUCACCUAGGCGACGAUCCCUAGCUGGUCUGAGAGGAUGACCAGCCACACUGGAACUGAGACACGGUCCAGACUCCUACGGGAGGCAGCAGUGGGGAAUAUUGCACAAUGGGCGCAAGCCUGAUGCAGCCAUGCCGCGUGUGUGAAGAAGGCCUUCGGGUUGUAAAGCACUUUCAGCGGGGAGGAAGGCGGUGAGGUUAAUAACCUCACCGAUUGACGUUACCCGCAGAAGAAGCACCGGCUAACUCCGUGCCAGCAGCCGCGGUAAUACGGAGGGUGCAAGCGUUAAUCGGAAUUACUGGGCGUAAAGCGCACGCAGGCGGUCUGUCAAGUCGGAUGUGAAAUCCCCGGGCUCAACCUGGGAACUGCAUUCGAAACUGGCAGGCUAGAGUCUUGUAGAGGGGGGUAGAAUUCAGUGUAGCGGUGAAAUGCGUAGAGAUCUGGAGGAAUACCGGUGGCGAAGGCGGCCCCCUGGACAAAGACUGACGCUCAGGUGCGAAAGCGUGGGGAGCAAACAGGAUUAGAUACCCUGGUAGUCCACGCCGUAAACGAUGUCGAUUUGGAGGUUGUGCCCUUGAGGCGUGGCUUCCGGAGCUAACGCGUUAAAUCGACCGCCUGGGGAGUACGGCCGCAAGGUUAAAACUCAAAUGAAUUGACGGGGGCCCGCACAAGCGGUGGAGCAUGUGGUUUAAUUCGAUGCAACGCGAAGAACCUUACCUGGUCUUGACAUCCACAGAACUUUCCAGAGAUGGAUUGGUGCCUUCGGGAACUGUGAGACAGGUGCUGCAUGGCUGUCGUCAGCUCGUGUUGUGAAAUGUUGGGUUAAGUCCCGCAACGAGCGCAACCCUUAUCCUUUGUUGCCAGCGGUUAGGCCGGGAACUCAAAGGAGACUGCCAGUGAUAAACUGGAGGAAGGUGGGGAUGACGUCAAGUCAUCAUGGCCCUUACGACCAGGGCUACACACGUGCUACAAUGGCAUAUACAAAGAGAAGCGACCUCGCGAGAGCAAGCGGACCUCAUAAAGUAUGUCGUAGUCCGGAUUGGAGUCUGCAACUCGACUCCAUGAAGUCGGAAUCGCUAGUAAUCGUAGAUCAGAAUGCUACGGUGAAUACGUUCCCGGGCCUUGUACACACCGCCCGUCACACCAUGGGAGUGGGUUGCAAAAGAAGUAGGUAGCUUAACCUUCGGGAGGGCGCUUACCACUUUGUGAUUCAUGACUGGGGUGAAGUCGUAACAAGGUAACCGUAGGGGAACCUGCGGUUGGAUCACCUCCUUA